GGCCAGACUCCUACGGGAGGCAGCAGUGGGGGAUAUUGCACAAUGGGGGGAACCCUGAUGCAGCGACGCCGCGUGGGUGAAGAAGCGCCUCGGCGCGUAAAGCCCUGUCAGCAGGGAAGAAAAUGACGGUACCUGAAGAAGAAGCCCCGGCUAACUACGUGCCAGCAGCCGCGGUAAUACGUAGGGGGCAAGCGUUAUCCGGAUUUACUGGGUGUAAAGGGAGCGUAGACGGCAGUGCAAGUCUGGAGUGAAAGGCGGGGGCUCAACCCCCGGACUGCUCUGGAAACUGUACGGCUGGAGUGCAGGAGAGGUAAGUGGAAUUCCUAGUGUAGCGGUGAAAUGCGUAGAUAUUAGGAGGAACACCGGUGGCGAAGGCGGCCUGCUGGACUGUAACUGACGUUGAGGCUCGAAAGCGUGGGGAGCAAACAGGAUUAGAUCCCCGUGUA
rnacentral:rRNA from 1 species